rnacentral:rRNA from 1 species
AUACGUAGGUGACAAGCGUUAUCCGGAUUUACUGGGCGUAAAGGGCGUGUAGGCGGUCUUGCAAGUCAGAAGUGAAAUUCCUGAGCUCAACUCGGGCGCUGCUUCUGAAACUGCAGGACUUGAGUGCUGGAGGGGAUAGCGGAAUUCCUAGUGGAGCGGUAAAAUGCGCAGAUAUUAGGAAGAACACCGGUGGCGAAGGCGGCUAUCUGGACAGUAACUGCCGCUGAGGCGCGAAAGCGUGGGGAGCAAACAGAAUUAGAUACCCUGGUAGUCCACGCUGUAAACGAUGAAUACUAGGUGUAGGGGGUAUCGACUCCCUCUGUGCCGCAGUUAACACAAUAAGUAUUCCGCCUGGGGAGUACGGCCGCAAGGUUGAAACUCAAAGGAAUUGACGGGG